GAUCCUGGCUCAGGAUGAACGCUAGCUACAGGCUUAACACAUGCAAGUCGAGGGGCAGCAUGAUCAAGCUUGCUUUGAUUGAUGGCGACCGGCGCACAGGUGAGUAACGCGUAUCCAACCUUCCCUAUAGUAGUGGAUAGCCCGGCGAAAGUCGGAUUAAUACACUAUGUUAUUCAACGAGGACAUCUGAAAUGAAUCAAAGGCUUGCCGCUAUAGGAUGGGGAUGCGUCUGAUUAGAUAGUAGGCGGGGUAACGGCCCACCUAGUCGACGAUCAGUAGGGGUUCUGAGAGGAAGGUCCCCCACAUUGGAACUGAGACACGGUCCAAACUCCUACGGGAGGCAGCAGUGAGGAAUAUUGGUCAAUGGACGGGAGUCUGAACCAGCCAAGUAGCCGUGCAGGAUGACGGCCCUAUGGGUUGUAAACUGCUUUUAUACGGGGAUAAAGUGAGCCACGUGUGGCUUUUUGUAGGUACCGUAUGAAUAAGGACCGGCUAAUUCCGUGCCAGCCGCCGC
rnacentral:rRNA from 1 species